GAGUUUGAUCCUGGCUCAGAUUGAACGCUGGCGGCAGGCCUAACACAUGCAAGUCGAGCGGAAACGAGUUAACUGAACCUUCGGGGGACGUUAACGGCGUCGAGCGGCGGACGGGUGAGUAAUGCCUGGGAAAUUGCCCUGAUGUGGGGGAUAACCAUUGGAAACGAUGGCUAAUACCGCAUAAUAGCUUCGGCUCAAAGAGGGGGACCUUCGGGCCUCUCGCGUCAGGAUAUGCCCAGGUGGGAUUAGCUAGUUGGUGAGGUAAUGGCUCACCAAGGCGACGAUCCCUAGCUGGUCUGAGAGGAUGAUCAGCCACACUGGAACUGAGACACGGUCCAGACUCCUACGGGAGGCAGCAGUGGGGAAUAUUGCACAAUGGGCGCAAGCCUGAUGCAGCCAUGCCGCGUGUAUGAAGAAGGCCUUCGGGUUGUAAAGUACUUUCAGCAGUGAGGAAGGUGGGUAUGUUAAUAGCAUACUCAUUUGACGUUAGCUGCAGAAGAAGCACCGGCUAACUCCGUGCCAGCAGCCGCGGUAAUACGGAGGGUGCGAGCGUUAAUCGGAAUUACUGGGCGUAAAGCGCAUGCAGGUGGUUUGUUAAGUCAGAUGUGAAAGCCCGGGGCUCAACCUCGGAAUUGCAUUUGAAACUGGCAAACUAGAGUACUGUAGAGGGGGGUAGAAUUUCAGGU
rnacentral:rRNA from 1 species